AUUGAACGCUGGCGGCAGGCCUAACACAUGCAAGUCGAGCGUGAAAGGGCUUCGGCCUGAGUAAAGCGGCGGACGGGUGAGUAACGCGUAGGAAUCUACCUGGUAGUGGGGGAGUAACGUUCCGAGAGGGACGGCUAAUACCGCAUACGUUCCGAGGAAGAAAGCGGGGAGUCGCAAGACCUCGCGCUAUCAGAUGAGCCUGCGUCCGAUUAGCUAGUUGGUGGGGUAAAGGCCUACCAAGGCGACGAUCGGUAACUGGUCUGAGAGGAUGAUCAGUCACACUGGAACUGAGACACGGUCCAGACUCCUACGGGAGGCAGCAGUGGGGAAUAUUGGACAAUGGGCGCAAGCCUGAUCCAGCCAUGCCGCGUGUGUGAAGAAGGCCU
rnacentral:rRNA from 1 species